AUCGCACCCCCUUGCAGCCACUUUCUCCGCAGACUCAGCCUUUCUCUGAUCAUCUAGGGUUUGAAAGCAAACUCGUGCGAAGCGUCACCAUGAGAGCUAAGUGGAAGAAGAAGCGUAUGAGGAGGUUGAAGAGAAAGCGCCGAAAGAUGAGACAGAGAUCCAAGUAGUUCUUCUUUUCAAUGGAUCGGCGUUCGUUUUCUUUAUUUUCCGUUUGUUUUGACUUUUAUUGUUACCUAAUUAGUACCGAUCAAUGCGCAAUAGUGGUUUUCUAGUCGGACAAAUUUUUGUUAAUUUCAGUCUGUUUGUAGACCUUAUUAUUAUGAGCUAUUGAAACCUGUUUUCUUCAAUUGCUUCUCAUAUCUUUUGGGUUUUCAUGAAUCUCUUAUGGUUAUGUUAAAUGUGGUUUGGUAUGUAUGGCGCAUCGUAAUGGGAAUGCUUGGUACAUGUUUGUUUCUGGGUUUAA